rnacentral:rRNA from 1 species
UGCGUAGGUGGCAAGCGUUAUCCGGAAUUAUUGGGCGUAAAGAGCGCGCAGGUGGUUGAUUAAGUCUGAUGUGAAAGCCCACGGCUUAACCGUGGAGGGUCAUUGGAAACUGGUCGACUUGAGUGCAGAAGAGGGAAGUGGAAUUCCAUGUGUAGAGGUGAAAUGCGUAGAGAUAUGGAGGAACACCAGUGGCGAAGGCGGCUUCCUGGUCUGUAACUGACACUGAGGCGCGAAAGCGUGGGGAGCAAACAGGAUUAGA